AUUGAACGCUGGCGGCAUGCCUUACACAUGCAAGUCGAACGGCAGCACGGGAGCAAUCCUGGUGGCGAGUGGCGAACGGGUGAGUAAUAUAUCGGAACGUGCCCAGUCGUGGGGGAUAACGUAGCGAAAGCUACGCUAAUACCGCAUACGAUCUAUGGAUGAAAGCGGGGGAUCGCAAGACCUCGCGCGAUUGGAGCGGCCGAUAUCAGAUUAGGUAGUUGGUGAGGUAAAGGCUCGCCAAGCCGACGAUCUGUAGCUGGUCUGAGAGGACGACCAGCCACACUGGGACUGAGACACGGCCCAGACUCCUACGGGAGGCAGCAGUGGGGAAUUUUGGACAAUGGGCGCAAGCCUGAUCCAGCAAUGCCGCGUGCAGGAUGAAGGCCUUCGGUUGUAAC
rnacentral:rRNA from 1 species